AGAGACUGUCCCUCCCAGAAGACACUCCUCCAGAAGAAACUCCUCUAGAAGAAAUUUCUGAAGUUGAGCCAAAUCAAAGGACACCUUUGGAAGUGAUCUCCCAGAAAGUUAAAAAAAAACAAGGUAGAAAUUUCUUUCCUCAGGGAGAAAAACAAGAAAGGCCAGCAGUCAAGUGAGACUGAGGACGCAGCACCUCCAGUGAAAAAGGUUCCCAGAAAGGAAAAAGAGCUGGUUUGUAAUAGUUGUCAUAUUUAGUUCAUAUAUUACCACUUUGUAAAUAUUAAUUUAAUGUAUAUUCAGAAAAAAAUCCACGUCCCAAAUUUACAUUAAAUUGUUGUUUGUUUCAUCUUCACAUGCUCACUUUGUAAAUAUUGAAGUUAUUUAUUUUUAAAAAGUCAUUUUUAGUAUUAAGGAAUUUAACCAAGCAUGAAAAUGAAUUUACUCUUAAAGUGUUAAGAUAAUCACUUAACACUUUUCAAUUUUUCUUUAGAUCUUCCCAAUAUUAACAGCCCUUUUGGAAUGAUGCUGUAAUAGUCUAUGACCUUAAUUUUUUUUUUUAUUCCAGCCAAAGUACAGAGGAUGGGCAUUUGUCCAUGAGAAAAACUUUGUACAAAAAAAUAUUUUUGAAGAUACGAUUGUGGACUCUCGUUUAAGAAAAAGAAAUUGAUGUAUUUCAGAACCACUCUUGGUUAUUGUUGAGAAGAGACUAUAAAAUCGAGCAUCUGGAUGUGUGUGUGUGUGUGUGUGUGUUUU